rnacentral:rRNA from 1 species
CCUGGUGGCUCUAGCGGGGGGCCUCCACCCGAUCCCAUUCCGAACUCGGCCGUUAAAUCCUCCAGCGCCAAUGGUACUACGUCUUAAGGCGUGGGAGAGUAGGUCGCUGCCAGGC